rnacentral:rRNA from 1 species
ACAGAGGGAACUUCUGCUAAUACCCAAUAUGCAGCAAUGUGAAAUAUUUUUUGCCAAAUGAGGAGCUCGCGUCCGAUUAGUUAGUUGGUGGGGUAAGAGCCUACCAAGGCAGCGAUCGGUAGCUGGUCUGAGAGGAUGAGCAGCCACACUGGGACUGAGACACGGCCCAGACUCCUACGGGAGGCAGCAGUGGGGAAUUUUCCGCAAUGGGCGAAAGCCUGACGGAGCAAUACCGCGUGAGGGAGGAAGGCUUUUGGGUUGUAAACCUCUUUUAUUAAGGAAGAAGAAAGUGACGGUACUUAAUGAAUCAGCAUCGGCUAACUCCGUGCCAGCAGCCGCGGUAAUACGGAGGAUGCAAGCGUUAUCCGGAAUCAUUGGGCGUAAAGCGUCCGCAGGUGGUUCAUCGUGUCUGCUGUUAAAGACAGAAGCUCAACUUCUGAAGGGCAGUGGAAACUGGUGAACUAGAGUACGGUAGGGGUUGAGGGAAUUCCCAGUGUAGCGGUGAAAUGCGUAGAUAUUGGGAAGAACACCAGUGGCGAAGGCGCUCAACUGGGCCGUAACUGACACUCAUGGACGAAAGCUAGGGUAGCGAAUGGGAUUAGAUAC